rnacentral:rRNA from 1 species
CCUACGGGUGGCAGCAGUGGGGGAUAUUGCACAAUGGUGGAAACCCUGAUGCAGCGACGCCGCGUGGGUGAAGAAGCGCCUCGGCGCGUAAAGCCCUGUCAUCAGGGAAGAAAAUAACGGUACCUGCAGCAGAAGCCCCGGCUAACUACGUGCCAACAGCCGCGGUAAUACGUAGGGGGCAAGCGUUAUCCGGAUUUACUGGGUGUAAAGGGGUCGCAUACGGGGAUGCAAGCCAGGCGUGAAAGCCCGGGGCCAAACCCCGGGACUGCUAUGUGAACUGCGUGGCUUGAGUACUGGAGAGGCAUACGGAAUUCCUAGUGUAGCGGUGAAAUGCGUAGAUAUUAGGAGGAACACCAGUGGCGAAGGCGGUCUGCUGGACAGCAACUGACGGUGAGGCGCGAAAGCGUGGGGAGCAAACAGGAUUAGAUACCCCUGUAGUC